rnacentral:rRNA from 1 species
AUACGUAGGUGGCAAGCGUUGUCCGGAUUUACUGGGCGUAAAGAGCGCGCAGGCGGUCGUUCAAGUCGCGUGUGAAAGCCCCCGGCUCAACUGGGGAGGGUCACUCGAUACUGGUCGACUUGAAGGCGGGAGAGGGAAGCGGAAUUCCCGGUGUAGUGGUGAAAUGCGUAGAUAUCGGGAGGAACACCAGUGGCGAAGGCGGCUUCCUGGCCCGUUCUUGACGCUCAUGUGCGAAAGCUAGGGGAGCAAACG